rnacentral:rRNA from 1 species
CCCGCUGAACUUAAGCAUAUCAAUAAGCGGAGGAAAAGAAACUAACAAGGAUUCCCCUAGUAACGGCGAGUGAAGCGGGAAGAGCUCAAAUUUAAAAUCUGGCGGCCUUCGGUCGUCCGAGUUGUAGCCUAGAGAAGCGUUUUCCGCGGCGGACCAUGUACAAGUCCCUUGGAACAGGGCGUCAUAGAGGGUGAGAAUCCCGUCCUUGACAUGGACCCCCGUCGCUCUGCGAUGCGCUCUCGAAGAGUCGAGUUGUUUGGGAAUGCAGCUCAAAAUGGGUGGUAAAUUCCAUCUAAAGCUAAAUAUUGGCGAGAGACCGAUAGCGAACAAGUACCGUGAGGGAAAGAUGAAAAGCACUUUGGAAAGAGAGUCAAACAGUACGUGAAAUUGUUAAAAGGGAAACGAUCAAAGUCAGUCGCGUCUGCCGGGACUCAGCCUUGCCUUCGCGCUCGGCGCAUUUCCCGGUCUGACGGGCCAGCGUCGAUUUUGACCGGCGGAAAAGGGUCGGAGGAACGUGGCUCCUCACGGAGUGUUAUAGCCUUCGGCCGCAAACGUCGGUUGGGAUCGAGCCCUCCCGCACGGCACGCCUCUGGCGGUGCCCGCGCUGGCGUAAUGGCUUUGACCGACCCGUCUUGAAACACGG